UGCUCCUGAGUGACUGGAAGGGGUGGAGCCAGGACCCACCCCUUCCCCGACCUCAUUUAAGUGUUGGCAGUGGUUGCAAGGUAAUCCUUUCUUGGAGAGCCUUGUGUGCCUGAGGUCUUCUGGAGGCAGUCAUUUCAUUGGUCUGGACAGCCAACUCUUCACCAGCUCACAGGCUGUGUUUGGAAGCAGUGUCAAAAUGGCCUUUUACAACCUACUGAUGAAAAAGAACAGGAGUCUCAAGCUGCUGGUCAGUGAUGCAGAAAAAGCAUUGGAUUUAUCAGCAAAUGUAUACAUAAUGACUGCUGCAAGACUGAGCCAUCCAUCUUCGAUCUGUCUUUUAGGGCUGGGGGUUUCAUUGCCUGACUGGCAUCUGCAUAAGCAGCUGGACUCGAUGUUCCUGAAGGAGAUAAAAAUAAUAAAUAUGAUUAAUUAACAGUAUCAGCACCAGUUACAUAUUUGCAUUAUUGAAGAGCUAAUGCACAAAUAACCACAGUACAGUAGAUCAAUAAGUAAUAGUAUUCCUUAGCUAUCCAGAGGAAAAGGUGAAAUGAACUGAAUUUACAGUGCCCACCACAUCUGCAUCUGAAGUGAAAAGAAAAAAAUUCCAGAUGAACUGUAAGAUUAAGUUCCCAAUAGUCUGAAAAUCUAUUUCAAAAAAAUUUUCGGGAGACUUGAUGAAAGGGUUUAAAGUUCAUGUUCCCUAGCUAACAGUCUGAGGCCUGCUCUCUCAGCUCAGGGUCUUGGUUAGACUGACAAGAUUACCAAGGGAAGCUGCAGGUUCUGCAUGUCAAACUCCUGUGGAAACAAGACUCAAUGCCUCUUUCUGAGAGAUCUGCUCUUGCUCAAACACAAGUUGGGAUGCAACAUGCAAGGAAGGAAUUACUAGGAGGAAUUCUCUGCCCUGUCUUAGGCAGGAGCUGAAAUGGAGUAUUAUAAACAGCACUGUCAGGACUUAAAUUAUGGUUUUCUGGUCAUUGUCUUCUUGUGCAGGGCGCCUGAGCAUGUGAGGACCCAAGGGAGAGCACACAGGAUGUGACCCUUUACCCUGCUCUUGGGUGUUCAGUUGGACCCGCAGUUCCAGCCUGCAGCCAGGAAAGCAUUAAAUAAACUUCCUCAACAGGAUUGCGUUCACACCCCAUGCUGGCCAUUACUGCCACUUGUGGCUGCAUGCAACAGCAAAAGCACUGGAGAAAGAAGAAAUAGUGAUGCUUCUUUCCUUUGCAAAUGCUCUGGAGGGUGUUUGCCUCAAACCUUAAUGUCUUAAAAGCCCACGUGACCAGCACAGAGGAUAGAUGCCGAACUCCAGGCCUACAACAAAGUAAGGGAUGAUGCAAGCACACCCUGAGUACUUGAAGAGUAUAAGGUCAAACGAAGAAGCUGCAUAGGAGAAAAGAAAUAGAAAUUUGCAAGACACAAAGGAAAAGGAGAAAGGUUUAUGUGUGAUACCACAACAUGCUAAGAAAGCACCUCUGGCCUUCUCUGGGAAGAACCCCUGUGCCAUGUGCUCAUUUCCAGUCUGAUAAAUCAUUAGUAUACAAGUACCCCCAACUCUUACCUGUUCCUUUAACAUCUGCUCUGGAGCUUCACAAAACUUCAAGCUGGCCAUGAGCUAGCAAUGUGUGCUUGUGGCCAAAAAGGCCCAUGAUGUCCUGGCCUGCAUUACACAGAGCAUUGCCAGCAGGUUGAGGUUGAGGGAGUUAUCCUUAUGCUCUGCACUGGUGAGGGCACAUUUGGAGUGGAGUGCUUUCCCCAGAACCAGAGAGACCUGGAGAUGCUGGAGCACUUUGCAAGUACUUCGAUUUCCCCUUGGAGCUUACAAAAGCAUGGGCUUCAAAAGUAUCACUAGUUUUCAGGAAUGUGUACUAAUGUGCACUUAUGUGUUCCUAAUGUGUACGUAGUUUGGAAAGAUUAUACUUCCGUAUAACUUUUGAUUUCAAGUUGGGCAAGGAGAAGGAGCAAUUAGUAAAGGAAACUACAAAUAGAUUAAGAGGUCUUACACAUUUCCAAGUUUGGAGCAAUGGAUAUGAAAAACAAAGCAAUACUUCCAUUUCUCUAUUAGACACAUUCCUACUAAGAAAUAAGUAGGAGUACUGAGUUCAGUUUACAAGCUCCCUUGACCAACAGAGGUCUUAGAUGGCCACCAGCUCGAUCCAAAGAGAGAGCUUGAGCUGGCACUGCAACACGGAUAUGAUCUGCUUAGUGGUAUUCACUGUUCAAAAUACCCAUCUAAGUGAGGUAAGACCUGGGAACACAAGUGGGAAGAGGAAUCUACUGAAAAUGUGAGAAGUAAUGUAGCCUGUACAAGAGUCUUACCCCUACCUGAGCCAGUUUUAUACAGUUAAUGGAGUUGUGUCUUAGCGUUAAAUGCUUGGCAUGAGUAAAGUUUUCACACUGACUGGAGAAAGGCAUCUUUCCUAAACUAUCCGAACAGCACACCAUAGUUAAGCUUUCAGAAUGCAAAAUAGAGGAAUACUUUUAAAUGGUAGAGAAGACAAUCUCACACAGAAUCUUUCUUUCUUCUUUCUUUCUUAAUAGCAGUGUUCUGUCUUCAAAAGCAGCUCUGUUAAAAGUUUCUUGCUUCAUGUAAUCUUGGCAAAAUUCUUGAGACAAUACCUUGGGAAAUCCAAGUUAAAUAAGGAAGUCACAUAUCAGAAAAAUAGAUGUUAAUGAGUCUUUCACAGGCAACUCCUCUUACAGAGGAAACCUUUCAGUUCAGUUAUCCUAAGUGAAGGAUUUUCCUGUGAGGAGUUUGAGCUAGAUACAAGAUGGCUGCACGAGAAAGUUUAGAUUCAGCAUUUUUCCCUCUGAAAAAGAAGAUUGCAACUGAACAAGAAAGGCUCAUCAGAGCUCUGAGGGGGCUUAGUGGUGUGUGCUGAAUCAUCAGCUCGGACUGAAGAGUUGACUUUGGUUCUUUUGUUAUCUGUCAUUGUUUUGCAGAUCUAGGUGCCAGUCUCUUCCCCUCUUGAACAUGUUCCACUUUUUAAUCAAACUUUGGGCAGAAGAGACAAGGAAACCGAUUCUAUGAGCUAGGCAGAGCAUCUACCUGCAAAGCCAUACGUCUGUGCUCCUGUCCCUGCUGAGUAUUCCAUGGCCUGUUAAACAGCAGAGGAGCUUUAUAUCAUUGCUCUCUGUAGGGUGAGUUCAUGGUGCAGCUGGAUGCAGCACUGAAUCUUUCUGAGGUUGCUGAUACAAGAUUUUGCAUUUUGGUUGCAACUGUCCAAGGGAGAUGUGGGCAGCCACAGCAAGACCUACUGCUUGUAUAGGUAGAGUUUGUUCCUUAAAAGAAGCAUGCUCUGCACAGUCCCCAGAUAUGGGUCAAGUUAUUUUAUCCACAUUAUAUCCUCUGACAAAAAACAAGUGUGUGCUACAUAUUGGGGCCAA